rnacentral:rRNA from 1 species
GCGAGUGAAGCGGCAAGAGCUCAACUUUGGAAUCGCUCCGGCGAGUUGUAGUCUGGAGGUGGCCACCACGAGGUGUUCUAGCAGCAGGCAAGUCCUUUGGAACAAGGCGCCAGCGAGGGUGACAGCCCCGUACCUGCUUUUGCUAGUGCUUCCUGUGGCCCACCGACGAGUCGAGUUGUUUGGGAAUGCAGCUCUAAGUGGGUGGUAAAUUCCAUCUAAGGCUAAAUAUUGGCGAGAGACCGAUAGCGAACAAGUACAGUGAUGGAAAGAUGAAAAGCACUUUGAAAAGAGAGUGAAACAGUACGUGAAAUUGUUGAAAGGGAAGGGCUUGCACCCAGACACGGUUUCGGCCGGGCCAGCAUCAAGUAGAACGGGGUUAAAAGACUUGGGGAAUGUAGCUACUUCGGUAGUGUUAUAGCCCUUGGUGAUGACCCCUG